rnacentral:rRNA from 1 species
UUGACGGGACCGCACAAGCGGUGGAUGAUGUGGUUUAAUUCGAUGCAACGCGAAAACCUUACCCACCUUUGACAUGUACGGAAUCCUUUAGAGAUAGAGGAGUGCUCGAAAGAGAGCCGUAACACAGGUGCUGCAUGGCUGUCGUCAGCUCGUGUCGUGAGAUGUUGGGUUAAGUCCCGCAACGAGCACAACCCUUGUCAUUAGUUGCUACAUUCAGUUGGGCACUCUAAUGAGACUGCCGGUGACAAACCGGAGGAAGGUGGGGAUGACGUCAAGUCCUCAUGGCCCUUAUAGGUGGGGCUACACACGUCAUACAAUGGAUGGUACAAAGGGUCGCCAACCCGCGAGGGGGAGCCAAUCCCAUAAAGCCAUUCGUAAUCCGGAUCGCAGUCUGCAACUCGACUGCGUGAAGUCGGAAUCGCUAGUAAUCGUGGAUCAGAAUGUCACGGUGAAUACGUUCCCGGGUCUU